rnacentral:sRNA from 1 species
GUACUCCCCCCGCUUUAAUUUUAAUUUUUUAAAGUACUAUAUACAGGCCGGGUGCGGUGGCUCAUGCCUGUAAUCCCAGCACUUUGGGAGGCCGAGGUGGGUGGAUCACCUGAGAUCAGGGGUUCAAGACCAGCCUGGCCAACAUGGCGAAACCCCAUCUCUACUAAAAAUACAAAAAUUAGCUGGGCGUGGUGGCGCAUGCCUGUAAUCCCAGUUACUCAGGAGGCUGAGGUAGGAGAAUUGCUUGAACCCAGGAGGCGGAGGUUGUAGGGAGCCUAGAUUGUGCCACUGUAUUCCAGCCUGUGCAACAGAGAACCCAUCUCAAAAAAAGAAAAAAAGAAAUACAUACGUGCCGGGUAUGGUGGCACACACCCAAAAUCCCAGCACUUUGGGAUGCUGAGGUGGGCAGAUAUUUGAGCCCAGGAGUUUGAGACCAGGCUGGCCAAUAUGGUGAAACCCUGUCUCUACUAAAUAAACAAAAAAAUUAGCUGAGCAUGGUGCUGCAUGCCUGUAGUCCCAGCUACUCAGGAGGCUGAGGCACGAGAAUCGCUUGAACCUGGGAGGCUGAGGUUGCAGUGAGCUGAAGUUGCAGUGAGCUGAGAUUGCACCACUACACUCCAGCCUAGGCAACAGAGCAAGACUCUUUCUCAGAAAAAUAAAGUAAUACAUACACAUGGUUAAAAAAUUAAUGAUACGGAAAUAUGUAAAAGUAAACAUCUUCCUCUUAUUCCGAAAGACUAGUCCUCUCUGGAAGUAACCACUCUUAACAAGUUUUUCAUGUUCUUCCAGAAAACUUUGCACACUAGAGCAACACAGGUGUCCUUUUAGAAAAUAUUAUCAGCCAGGCGCGGUGGCUCACGCCUGUAAUCCCAGCACUUUGGGAGGCUCAGGUGGGUGGAUCACCUGAGAUCAGGAGUUCUGAGACCAGCCUGGCCAACAUAGUGAAACCCUGUUUCUACUAAAAAUACAAAAAUUAGCCGGGUGUGGUGGCGGGCGCCUGUAGUCCCAGCUACUCGGGAGGCUGAGGCACGAGAAUUGCUAGAACCUGGGAAACAGAGGUUGCAGUGAGCCAAGAUUGCGCCACUGCACUCCAGCCUGGGUGACAGAGCGAGACUGUCUUAAAAAAAAAAAAAAAGAAACAAAAUAUUAUCAAAUAGGUUCACACUUUGGUGGGGUUUUUGUUUUGUUUUGACUAAAACCCUUCAUUUUCUGUACUGUAUUUGAACAAUACCUAUUGAUGGACAUUUCUAGUGUUUUCAGUUUUUGAAUUUCUACACAGCCCUGGAACGAACACUUCAUUUGUAUGUCAUCUUGUAAUUGUGUACUGUGUACCUUGGACAUACCUUUUAAAGACUGUUGGUGGGGGGACACGUGUUUUUUGAGGAAGAUGGUACUGAGGUCAGCACCCUGGCUGCCCUGAGAGUGCAGUGCCGCGUUCCCCACCCUCUCGCCAACCACAGGAUUAUGCUGAAAAUGUAAAUCUUUACCAAUUUGAUAGGCAAAAAAUGGGAUCUCAGCAUUUUAGCCUGCAUCUCUGAGUACUAAGGAGGCUGAACACGAAAUGAGCUUAUUUUUUUUUUCAGAAGCCCCUGAAUGUGACAGUGAUCCGCAGGGGGGAGAAACACCAGCUUAGACUUGUUCCAACACGCUGGGCAGGAAAAGGACUGCUGGGCUGUAACAUUAUUCCUCUGCAAAGAUGAUUGUCCCUGGGGAACAGUAGCAGGAAAGCAUCUUCCCUUGCCCUGGACUUGGGUCUAGGGAUUUCCAACUUGUCUUCUCUCCCUGAAGCAUAAGGAUCUGGAAGAGGCUUGUAACCUGAACUUCUGGGUGGUGGCAGUGCUGUGGCCUACCAGUGUAAUCUCCCUGGAUUAAGGCAUUCUUAAAAACUUAUGCUUGGCCUCUUUCGCAAAUUAGGCCAUGGCCCUAAAUAGGAAUUUCCUAGAUUGUGGGCAAGUGGGCGGAAGUUAUUCUGGCAGGUACUGGUGUGAUUAUUAUUAUUUUUAAUAAAGAGUUUUACAGUGCUGAUAUG